rnacentral:rRNA from 1 species
UACGUAGGGGGCAAGCGUUAUCCGGAUUUAUUGGGCGUAAAGGGAACGCAGGCGGUCUUUUAAGUCUGAUGUGAAAGCCUUCGGCUUAACCGGAGUAGUGCAUUGGAAACUGGGAGACUUGAGUGCAGAAGAGGAGAGUGGAACUCCAUGUGUAGCGGUGAAAUGCGUAGAUACAUGGAAGAACACCAGUGGCGAAAGCGGCUCUCUGGUCUGUAGCUGACGCUGAGGUUCGAAAGCGUGGGUAGCAAACAGG